GGCGACAUAGCCAAGCGGUAAGGCAGAGGUCUGCAAAACCUUUAUUCUCCAGUUCAAAUCUGGAUGUCGCCUCCA
rnacentral:tRNA from 1 species